GGAGUAUGGGCCGUGUCUCAGUCCCAUUGUGGCCGGUCACCCUCUCAGGUCGGCUACACAUCCUCGCCUUGGUGGGCCGUUGCCCCGCCAACUAGCUAAUGUGCCGCAGGUCCAUCUAAAAGCGCCGCAAGCGCGGCUUUCAAGCGGGGGCGAUGCCGUCCCCGUUGUUAUCCGGUAUUAGCCAAACUUUCGUCUGGGUAUCCCAGUCUUAAAGGCAGGUUACCUACGUGUUACUCACCCGUUCGCCGCUAGGUAGCAAGCUACCUCGCUCGACUUGCAUGUAUUAGGCACGCCGCCAGCGUUCAUC
rnacentral:rRNA from 1 species